UCGGCAUUGUAAUGUUUACGUUUUUAUUUAACAGAAUCGGGCGAUCGGGCAGAUUCGGCCGGAAGGGCGUCGCCAUCAAUUUCGUGAAGAACGACGACAUUCGGAUUCUGAGAGACAUCGAACAGUACUACAGCACGCAGAUAGACGAAAUGCCCAUGAACGUGGCUGAUCUUAUUUAGAAACCUGCUAUUUUGAAAUUGUCACCAGUAGCUUUUUUGACUGAUCUGUUUUAUUUCUCACAUUCAUAAGAACUGUACAUCAUAUUCUCCAUUAAUGUAACCACUUUUGUAAAUGUAUUAAAAGUAAACUUAAUUCUCUAAA